rnacentral:rRNA from 1 species
UACGUAGGUCCCGAGCGUUGUCCGGAUUUACUGGGUGUAAAGGGCGUGUAGCCGGGCUGACAAGUCAGAUGUGAAAUCCGGGGGCUCAACCCCCGAACUGCAUUUGAAACUGUUGGUCUUGAGUAUCGGAGAGGCAGGCGGAAUUCCUAGUGUAGCGGUGAAAUGCGUAGAUAUUAGGAGGAACACCAGUGGCGAAGGCGGCCUGCUGGACGACAACUGACGGUGAGGCGCGAAAGCGUGGGGAGCAAACAGG